rnacentral:rRNA from 1 species
UACGACGAAUUCGGUAGAGAUACCUUAGUGCCUUCGGGAACGCUGAGACAGGUGCUGCAUGGCUGUCGUCAGCUCGUGUUGUGAAAUGUUGGGUUAAGUCCCGCAACGAGCGCAACCCUUAUCCUUUGUUGCCAGCGGUCCGGCCGGGAACUCAAAGGAGACUGCCAGUGAUAAACUGGAGGAAGGUGGGGAUGACGUCAAGUCAUCAUGGCCCUUACGAGUAGGGCUACACACGUGCUACAAUGGCGCAUACAAAGAGAAGCGACCUCGCGAGAGCAAGCGGACCUCAUAAAGUGCGUCGUAGUCCGGAUUGGAGUCUGCAACUCGACUCCAUGAAGUCGGAAUCGCUAGUAAUCGUAGAUCAGAAUGCUACGGUGAAUACGUUCCCGGGCCUUGUACACACCGCCCGUCACACCAUGGGAGUGGGUUGCAAAAGAAGUAGGUAGCUUAACCUUCGGGAGGGCGCUUACCACUUUGUGAUUCAUGACUGGGGUGAAGUCGUAACAAGGUAAGCGUAGAUGA